GCUGUAGCCACUGGUGACUAUAAUGGCUUUGUGCGUAUUUGGAAUUAAAACAAUUUUCUAAAUCUUUUACAUUUUAAUGUACAUUCUUUUUACAAUAUUUCCAUAGUCCUGUUUUUUUUAUUAAAAAUUUUCUGUUUGCAACCAAUGACCCUGAAAAGAACCCUGCACUUUAUUUACAAAUCAUCUGAUGAUUGUUCACUGCUUACUGCAUUUUUUUUUUACUAUCCAAAAAAUUAGAGAGAAAAAAAAUCGGCAGCCAAUUUAACAGUUUAACGGACACACUGCUUUUCUAUUGAGCGUAUUGGUGGUAAGAAUCUUGGUGACUCCAUCGGAAAUCUAACCGAAAAUUUGAUAAAAAAUGUAUUAAAAUAAACAUUAAAAGUUUUUCAAAAGUACAAGUUGAUAUAAUAAAACUUUCAUGUAUUAA
rnacentral:lncRNA from 1 species